rfam:Pteropus alecto contig19056, whole genome shotgun sequence.
GUCUACGGCCAUGCCACCCUGAACAAGCCCCAUCCCGUCUGAUCUCAGAAGCUAAGCAGGGUCAGGCCUGGCUAGUACUUGGAUGGGAGACCACCUAGAAAGAUCAAGUGCUGUAGGCA